AGAUUGUUGGCUCAGUUGUUUAGAGCAUGGUGCUAAUAAUGCCAAGGUCAUGGGUUCAAUUGCCAUACAGGCCU
rnacentral:tRNA from 1 species